UACGGAGGGUGCAAGCGUUAUCCGGAUUCACUGGGCGUAAAGGGUGCGUAGGCGGUCGGGUAAGUCUGAUGUGAAAUCUCACAGCUUAACUGUGAAACUGCAUUGGAUACUAUUCGGCUUGAGAGUUGGAGGGGGGACUGGAAUUCUUGGUGUAGCAGUGAAAUGCGUAGAGAUCGGGAGGAACACCCGUGGCGAAGGCGGCACUC
rnacentral:rRNA from 1 species